UAGCUACUGAAUCAACGGUGUGUCAUCGUUGAUAAAGUAAGGGAAAAGAAAUGAUAUUACCUUACUACUAGUGUCGUCCAAGUACUCGUGCCAGAAGACUCGGUAAGGCGAGAGACGCAAACGUUAGUCGUCUUAAUCAGGCGUAAAGGGUUUGUAGGCGGCUUUAAGAAUUUUAUAUAUUUUUAUAUUUAAAAUCAAUUAAAGCUAGAAUCAAAAAGAGGUCACAUUAAAUAAUACUUGGUGUAAGGUUGGUAUCUUAAAACCCCAAGUAGAAUACUAACGGCGAAGGCUUUUUUCCAAUAAUGAUUGACGCUGAGAAACUAAGGUGAGGAUAGAAAAAAGGAUUAGAGACCCUCGUAUCCCUCACUGUCAACGAUGAAUGGUAGUUACUAGAUAAAUAAUUAUUAUUUAAAAAAUUAAAUAAUUACAAAUCUAGAGACGAUGUUAACACGAAAACCAUUCCGCCUUGUGAGUACAACUGCAAAGUUGAAAACAAAAAAAUUAGUCGGUUUCGGAGCAAACGAAGUGAAGCAUGUUAUUUAAUUCAAUUAA
rnacentral:rRNA from 1 species